GCCUCUUAGCUCAAUGGCUGAGCUUUGCCUUUAAGAGCCACAGGUCGGUGGUUCGAGCCCACCAGGGCA
rfam:Phytophthora infestans T30-4 supercont1.8 genomic scaffold, whole genome shotgun sequence.